UCCGGCUUAUCACCGGCGGUUUCUUUAGAGUGCCCAACUAAAUGAUGGCAACUAAAGACGAGGGUUGCGCUCGUUGCGGGACUUAACCCAACAUCUCACGACACGAGCUGACGACAGCCAUGUAGCACCUGUGUCCCUGUCCCCGAAGGAAAACCGUGUUUCCACGGCGGUCACCAGCAUGUCAAGCCCAGGUGAGGUUCUUCGCGUUGCAUCGAAUUAAGCCACAUGCUCCGCCGCUUGUGCGGACCCCCGUCAAUUCCUUUGAGUUUCACCGUUGCCGGCGUACUCCCCAGGUGGAUUACUUAGCGCUUUCGCUUGGCCGCGUACUGUAUAUCGCACACAGCGAGUAAUCAACGUUUACAGUGUGGACUAC
rnacentral:misc_RNA from 1 species